UAACAACAACAGAUGGUUUCUGCAACAAUGAGUUUUUAAUUUGCUGGACAACAGUUUACGUUUCUUAUCUCUUUAGAACUACUGUAGAUUCUAUAGAAACCAUGUGAUAUUAUUAAGUCAUUUAGAAAAGGCUAGACGAUAGUCUAUUAAAGUAAACAACAUUUGUCUUUUGACAUACGAUUUCGCGAGGUGACUUUCCAGUUGUGAAAAAGAUGGAAUUAAUUGAUCUGUUAUAGCCAUGCAGCUUUAAAAAGAUCUUACAACUCGUACACACUCUGGAAGAUAGUACAAUGAUAAUGUUUUCUGAAAAACUGCUAAAGACAACUGUGUUCUGAUGGAAAUCAGUAAUAAACGAUGGAAUCUCUUCUGAAGUUCAAGAGUGGAAGAAACUAUAAGCCUGAACUGAAAAUUUUCAGAGGUUGUUUUUGUAAGUAAUCAUGGCAAAAGGAAGGUUGUGUACAUGGUCCUACAGAAAUGGCAUUAGGAAGUGUUAUAUUAUCAUAUUAAAAAUGCUUCAGACAUUACAGUGCAAUUGGAUUCAAAAUGGGAAACUAAUGUUGUUAUAAGUAAAGGGAAGUAAUCCAAAGGAAGCUAUCGCCAUUUAGUAAAGUAUAGCAAUCUGUCAAGUUUGUUCAUUGGAAUUUUGUCCGAGUUUCUACGGAUUUACCCUACAUAUACUAUGAUUUAGUGGCACAGUGACCAGAGAUAACUGAGUUUAGGAAAACAGAAAGAACAUAUACAGUAGUUUUCUAUACUAGAAACUUCAUAAACCUUACUAUAUGGAUGCUGUGUGUAGAGAUAUGAAUGUUGCCAAGAUCUGUAUUGCUGAAAGAAUGAUCAGGAAGGUAGAACAAAGCUGUGAGUGACCAAUUAUUAUUGCCUGGGUCUAUAUCCUUAAAACAUAUUAGCUAAGAAAAACACCAUAAGAUAAGAAUUUUAAGUUUUUUUAUAAUUUUCUUUUUCAUUUUAAAACCACUCUUGUGGAUUAUUCAGCAUAUUAUUUUCAUUGAAGUGUAAGACAGAGUCCAAGUCUAUCAGUCAUCCACAUAAUAAUAAAAUGCAUCAAUAUAGUAACAAGGCAGUCUGAAAGACAGCUAUAUCCCCCGCCACUGUUAUGGAUAGUGAAAGGGUUGAUGGUAUUGGGUGGAACCGUUAAACAUUGAAUUAGACCUUGACCUUAAGCUGGCAGGGGUGAAUUUCGAAUUAUGCACAUUGUCUUGAUAAGGGAAUAUUAUAUCCAAGUCAUAUUAAAAUCCUUCAAGGGGUUUAGGAGAUACAGAGCAGACAUAGAAUGGAAGGCUUAAACCUUUGACCAUGAGUUGUGACCUUGACAGUGAGCCAACUUGGCUGACUCAUGAGUUCUGCACAUCGUCUUGGUGAUCAAUUGAUCAAAGUUUCAUGAAAAUCCUUCAAGGGGUUUAGGAGAUACAGAGCAGACACAAAAUGGAAGGCUCAAACAUUUGACCCUGAGUUGUGACCUUGACCUUGAGCCGACAUGACUCAUGAGUUCUGCACAUUGUCUUGAUAAGGUGAUCAUUUGACCCAGGUUUCAUGAAAAUCCAUCAAGGGGUUUUUGAGAUACAGAGCGGACACAAAAUUGAAGGCUCAAACCUUUGAUCUUGAGUUGUGACCUUGACCUUGAGCCAACAUGGCUGACUCAUGAGUUCUGCAUAUCGUCUUGAUGAGGUGAUCAUUUGACCCAAGUUUCAUGAUUAUCCUUCAAGGGGUUUAGGAGAUACAGAGCGGACACAAAAUUGAAAGCUCAAACCUUUGACCUUGAGUUGUGAACUUGACCUUGAGCCAACAUGGCUGACUCAUGAGUUCUGCACAUCAUCUUGAUGAGGCGAUCAGUUGACCCAAGUUUUAGGAAUAUCCUUCAAGGGGUUUAGGAGAUACAGAGCAGACAUGCAAUGGAAGGCUCAAACCUUUGACCUAGAGUUGUGACCUUGACCUUAAGCAAAUAUGGCUGACUCAUGGGUUCUGCACAUCGUGUUGAUGAGAUGAUCAUUUGUUCCAAGUUUCAUGAUUAUCCCUCAAGGGGUUUAGGAGAUACUGAGCGGACACAAAAUGGAAGGCUCAAACCUUUGACCUUGAGUUGUGACCUUGACCUUAAGCCGACAUGGCUGACUCUCGGGUUCUGCACAUCAUCUUGAUGAGGUGAUCAUUUGACCCAAGUUUCAUCAUAAUCCCUCAAGGGUUUUAGGAGAUACAGAGCGGACACGAAAUGUUACAGACAGACGGACAGAUGGAGACCAUUCCUAUAACCACCCACCACUCGUGGCAGGGGAUUAAUAAAUUAAUUGGUGAAAAUUGCAACAAAACUGUCAAAUUAAGAUUCAAAUGUAACACUUUAUGAAUACUGGCCAGGUGAUCAGACCCAUUUUGUCUUCCAUCUUGAAUUGAAUAAGUAUAGUAGGAAAAAAAUAUUAUUCAGUUUGUAACAAAUUACCACAGGCAAUAAAAAUUACAAGACAAAAAACUGAAUGUCUGAGAUUAACUGUGACUAGCAUGAGCGUUUGACUAAAAGUCUGAGUGUGUGAUUACUGCGUUUAGUGCCAGGAAUGAUAAACUGUCAGACAUGUCAACAAAUUCCAACUGUGUCAAUGUAUCAGUAAAUCAGUAGAUUUAUGUAAUACAUCUGAAUGGAGGAAUAAAUCUGCUGCCAAUGCAUGAUGUUAUCAUCUAAGUAUUGUGUGCUUGACACAGGAAUUGUCAAGUCAUUGCCAGCUAGCAUUUUGGCACACAUUAGUGUCACCAUUUUACACAACUGUAAUUUUAUGGGAAAAUCUGAUAAUUUUGACAAGUGAGGAUAGUUCUAUAUUGGAGAUUGUCAUACCAGUAUAUGUUCUUUAUGACAUUAAGCCAAGUCUUCAUUUUUUAUUUCUCUUCGGUAUCACACAGAGACAUGAAGAUCAUUAUUUCUCCCACCUCCACUGUGGGAGACCUGUUGUUUAAGCCCUGUCUGCCUGUCCGUCAGUCAGUCAGUCCGAGCUUACAUUUACAUACUUAGGUGGUUAUAGGAAAAAUAGGUAACUGUACUUUUUCUUUAAUGUCAUUCAUGUAAGCUUUUAUGCGGCUAUU